ACACGUGGGUAACCUGCCCUAUAGUGGGGGAUAGCCUUUCGAAAGGAAGAUUAAUACCGCAUAAGAUUGUAGUAUCGCAUGAUAUAGCAAUUAAAGGAGCAAUUCGCUAUAAGAUGGACCCGCGUCGCAUUAGCUAGUUGGUGAGGUAAUGGCUCACCAAGGCGACGAUGCGUAGCCGACCUGAGAGGGUGAUCGGCCACAUUGGGACUGAGACACGGCCCAGACUCCUACGGGAGGCAGCAUG
rnacentral:rRNA from 1 species